CCUACGGGAGGCAGCAGUAGGGAAUAUUGCUCAAUGGGGGAAACCCUGAAGCAGCAACGCCGCGUGGAGGAUAAAGGUUUUAGGAUUGUACACUCCUUUUGUGAGAGAAGAUAAUGACGGUAUCUCACGAAUAAGCACCGGCUAACUCCGUGCCAGCAGCCGCGGUAAUACGGAGGGUGCAAGCGUUACUCGGAAUCACUGGGCGUAAAGUGUGCGCAGGCGGGCUGGUAAGUCAGAUGUGAAAUCCUGUACCGUAACUACGGAAAUGCAUUUGACACUCGGAGUCUCGAGUGUGGGAGAGGUAGGUGGAAUUCUUGGUGUAGGGGUAAAAUCCGUAGAUAUCAAGAGGAAUACUCAUUGCGAAGGCGACCUACUGGAACAUUACUGACGCUCAUGCACGAAAGCGUGGGGAGCAAACAGGAUUAGAUACCCGUGUAGUC
rnacentral:rRNA from 1 species